rnacentral:rRNA from 1 species
ACACGUAAGGUGCGAGCGUUGUUCGGAAUCACUGGGCGUAAAGCGCGCGCAGGCGGGCUGAUAAGUUGGAUGUGAAAGCCUACGGCUCAACCGUAGAACUGCAUCCAAAACUGUCAGUCUAGAGUGUGGGAGAGGAAGAUGGAAUUAGUUGUGUAGGGGUAAAAUCCGUAGAGAUAACUAGGAAUACCAAAAGCGAAGGCAAUCUUCUGGAACACUACUGACGCUGAGGCGCGAAGGCGUGGGGAGCAAACAGGAUUAGAUACCCUAGUAGUCC